rnacentral:tRNA from 1 species
GCCUCGGUGGUCUAACUGGUAAGGACACUCACACGGAAUGUAAGAGAUCCGGGUUCGACUCCCGGCCGAGGUA